rnacentral:rRNA from 1 species
GUGAGGAAUAUUGGACAAUGGGCGCAAGCCUGAUCCAGCCAUGCCGCGUGCAGGAAGACGCAUCUAUGGUGUGUAAACUGCUUUUGUACGGGAAGAAACACUCCCUCGUGAGGGAGCUUGACGGUACCGUAAGAAUAAGGAUCGGCUAACUCCGUGCCAGCAGCCGCGGUAAUACGGAGGAUCCAAGCGUUAUCCGGAAUCAUUGGGUUUAAAGGGUCCGUAGGCGGUUUAAUAAGUCAGUGGUGAAAGCCCAUCGCUCAACGAUGGAACGGCCAUUGAUACUGUUAGACUUGAAUUACAAGGAAGUAACUAGAAUAUGUAGUGUAGCGGUGAAAUGCUUAGAUAUUACAUGGAAUACCAAUUGCGAAGGCAGGUUACUACUUGUGGAUUGACGCUGAUGGGCGAAAGCGUGGGGAGCGAACAGGAUUAGAUACCCGUGUAGUCC